CACUCAACGAAGCAAUCGACCCUUCUGGAAAAAAGUGGAAUCGAAGUGGCAGCAACAGCGGCUGUCGCUCUGCACGCCACCGGCGCCCUCCGCUCCCGACUCCUCUCUACCACGGCAGCCUCGCCGCACACCGCCACACCCAUACCCACCUCCACCUUCCUUCCUCCCCCUACCCCGUCUUCUACGAUGCCGACAUCGUCAAGUACACCGCCGGCGCCAUCCGUCCGCCAAGUCUGCAAUGCAUCUCCUGCCUACUCCUCCGGUGCAGCAGACUCGACGCCCAACACAUCUCCCUUCUCACCGCCGUCUCCUGCUCCCCCUCCCCCUUCUCCUUCGACACCGACGUUGGCAAGUACGCCGCCGGUGCCGUCCGUCCCCGGAGUCCGCGAGGACUCUCCUGCUUCCCCAUCCGAGGCUCUGAUGCAGCAGUCCCGCCGCCCACCACCUCCCCUGUCCUCGCUGACCUCCACGUACGCUGCUACACACUACGCAUCCUCGGCGACAGCGCCGCCACCUACUACUCCCUCCCGGCAGACGCGCUCUAUGGCCAUCCCCUUCGAGUAUGCGCUGCUCCCCUAGGACCUCUAUGCCGUCUGCAAUUGGUCUCUCCUCCCACAUGAGUCAUCUGUUUCAUUACUUGCGCACCUGCUGCUAUCACCAUCCCGAUUGGAAGCCCUCAGCCUGGCAAGAGAUUUUUGUGAAUUGAAGUACUCGACCAUGUUUGGGUUCAAAUAGCAGUAUCCAAUCUACUACAUGGUGUAUCAAUAUCAGGUUCGUAAUUUCUGCAUGUUUCCUGUCUAGGCCUUUGAAUUGUAACUAAGAUCUCCAUUGAUGAGUCAUAGGACAAGGUAAGAUACAGAACCAGCCGGCACACAAAGGCCGGCUUGAUCUAUUUCAGUUUUGUAGUGUACAUCCGUUACAGCUUACAAGUGCACCUAAGACAACAAAAUAAGCACCAAGUGAUUUUGACAUUAACUCCGGGUCAAAAUCUGGGCUUGCAAUGCUUCAGUUCUUGGGGUUCUCACAGUUCUAGAUUAUUUUUCUUGAGCACUUGGCGGAACUGAACCUUCUAGAUCACCAUCCGUGCUUCCACGAACUUCUCCUUCAGGAUGUGCUUCAAGGAGGCCCGGGGUACUCCAUGCAGCCCCUGAAACCCCAAUUGAAUUGGAUGUUCGUGGAGUUGGUAUGGUCUAAUCGGCAAAACAUUGCUGCCAGGUAUUUCAUCUGGUGUGCUUUUGGUGAUUUUUGGAGCAGAAAACGAGAUGCAAGUUUGAUUCAGAAUCACAUGCUCUGUUUCUUUCACAGUUCCCUACAUGUGUAGUACUGCACUGCGAUGUUUCUCCAUUGCAUAGAGUGCAGUUAGCCAGGUACUGAUUAUAAAAAAAUCAUUGGUACGUAUCCAUGCAGUUUGUUUAAUUUGGCCAAGACAAUCACACGUUUUUGAGCAUAUUCUUCAUAGAGCCAUGCCCAUAGUUUUGAUGAUGAAUAUUACAAGCUACAGAUUUAAGUCUAUUUCCAACACAAAGUGUGACAUCAUGUUUUAUCUGCUCAAAUUAUGUUUCGAUUAUGCAUGAAUCUAUGUUGAUAAUUAACCUAUGAUGCCUACUUUCAGUUACCAAUUAAACAUAUUGGGUUACAUUUGCUUCUUUUUAUUAAGCAGGAAAUGUAAGAGAGAUCAGACUAAAAAUUCCUGCUUCCUCUUGCUAUUAUAUAUCUUUGUAAUUUGUAAACACUAUUAUGCUUGCUGCUCUGCCAUGAGCAGUUAUAGUUUCUGGUUGCUCCUUUGGUGACACAAUAGCUUUAAUUCGUUGCUUGGCACCCUCAUGCUAGAUUACAUGCAGGCAUGUGCGCUGUCAGGAAACUGUGCGGACAGUGGGUCAACAUGUCCAUGGUCAUUACCUAGCUCGUGCUGCACCGAUGCUGCUGGUCGUUGUUGUUGAUGACCUCCAGCAUAGUUAUGUUCAUGUUACAGGAGAAGGUUGAGUUCUGCAAGAGAGACUGGACAUGUGCAUACUACUUGGUGAGUGCAGGUCAACUGGGACUCAUGGGACUUCCAGCGUGGAUGGAACGAGACGCUCAUGUCCCCGCCUUUCCAAAUGGCCCUAAGAUACAUGUGUUGUCGAACAUGAGACUCCCUAAGGUGUGGAGCUAGAAGAGGUGGCGUUUCCAAAGGCAGUGCCAGCUAAUGCAUGGAUGGCCAACGAAGCUAAUGCAUGGAUUUUUUUUCCUCACAAAAAUAAAGAUGUCAAGGCACAACUUGCUGGGGGAACCAAGCAUGUUGACCAUUGCAAUUUGAACGCAUAUAUUAUCGAAAAUGGGAUGAUUUGUGUAGUUUUAUAGCAAUACAAAUGCGCUUUUGGAUGUAAAUUUUGCGGCAACACGCUUUGGGAUUAAAUGGAUGGGUGAAUGAAGAGAGGGAAAAAAACGUAUGUCCUAAGUAGAAUGAUUAUCUAGAGAAAUGUCUUCAUAUAUUCCAUUGUUGUCCCGUUGCAUCGCACGGGCAUCUUA